rnacentral:lncRNA from 1 species
CAGAAGGUCUCUGGCUGUGUGUGUGUGUGCAUGCGCCUGUGUGUGUGAUGUAAAAACCAUUCUUGGCUCAAGGGCCAUAGAAAAACAAGUCUUUGGCUGCCUUCGUUUAUGGACCCCUGCUAAACUAAUCAUUUCAAAUGGGCUCUAACUAGCUGGUUUGAAAUUAGCUGGAACAACUUUAUUCAUCCACACUUGUGAAGACAAAUUGAAGGGCACUAAGGCCCCCCGCUGGUAAUUCAGAAGGGCAGGGGGAGAAAGGGCUCUCCCAGAGGUUAUCCCCUAACAUCUGAAGGUACCCUUGACUUUGCUUGGUUUUGUCUAAAGAAACCUGAACCUGGGAAGCUGGCCCCGCUGGACAGGGAACAUUUUAAAUAAAAACACUAAGACAACAAGGCCAGUUUAUUUUACAGUGACUCCUGAGGUAGUUUAUGUGGGAAACAGCAGGCAAGCCAUUAAAACCCUCUGGGGCUUAGUUCAUUCUGCACACGUCUCACUCUGGCAAAGGGAUUCCACAAACGCUAAGAGAACUUUAUUUUAAUA